rnacentral:rRNA from 1 species
CACAGGUGCUGCAUGGCUGUCGUCAGCUCGUGUCGUGAGAUGUUGGGUUAAGUCCCGCAACGAGCGCAACCCUCAUUUUUAGUUGCCAUCAGGUUAUGCUGGGCACUCUAGAAAAACUGCCGGUGAUAAGCUGGAGGAAGGCGGGGAUGACGUCAAGUCCUCAUGGCCCUUACGGUCUGGGCUACACACGUGCUACAAUGGUGGUGACAGAGGGCAGCGAUAUCGCAAGAUAAAGCUAAUCCCUAAAAACCAUCUCAGUUCGGAUUGGACUCUGCAACUCGAGUCCAUGAAGUUGGAAUCGCUAGUAAUCGUAGAUCAGGGUGCUACGGUGAAUACGUUCUCGGG